rnacentral:rRNA from 1 species
CCAAUAGCGUCUAUUAAAGUUGUUGCAGUUAAAAAGCUCGUAGUUGAAUUUUGGGUCUGGCCGGGCGGUCCGCCUUCUGGGUGAGUACUGUUCCGAUGUCGGACCUAUCCUUCUGGUGAGUCGGCAUGCCCUUUACUGGAUGUGUCGGGGAACCAGGACCAUUACCUUGAAAAAAUUAGAGUGUUCAAAGCAGGCGCAUGCUCGAAUACAUUAGCAUGGAAUAAUGAAAUAGGACGCGUGGUGCUAUUUUGUUGGUUUCUAGAACCGCCGUAAUGAUUAAUAGGGAUAGUUGGGGGCAUUAGUAUUCAAUUGUCAGAGGUGAAAUUCUUGGAUUUAUUGAAGACUAACUUCUGCGAAAGCAUUUGCCAAGGAUGUUUUCAUUAAUCAAGAACGAAAGUUAGGGGAUCGAAGACGAUCAGAUACCGUCGUAGUCUUAACCAUAAACUAUGCCGACUAGGAAUCGGGCGAUGUUAUUUUCACGACUCGCCCGGCGCCUUAUG